UGAUCAUGAUGUGUAAUUUACUCAAGGAACGACUUGCAAAAGAUGUAGAUUUAGCAUGUUUUUGUCAGAUACUACUGUGUUAGGUAAAUGCUGUAGGAAUAUUAAUAGUGCUUUUCAUCGUUUAGAAAAUUAUAUCUUGAAGAUUUUUUGGUUUUCCAUUCUGUGUUUGUUUUCUUUCCUUGAGUAAAUUACACAUCAUGAUCA
rnacentral:misc_RNA from 1 species